UGUGGCGCCUUGGAGACUAGCUGGUUUGUUUGAGCAUAAGCUUUCAUGAGCUACAGCUCACUUCAUCGGAGCUCACGAAGGCUUAUGCUCAAAUGGAUUGGUUGGUCUCUAGGGUGCCACAAGUCCUCCUUUUUAGGUCAUUCUUCAUGACACUAACAUCAGAAGUAGCUCAAUCAAUCAGCACCAUUCCACUCCGGUUAAUUUGCGUGCUGCAGUUCUAUUAGUUGAACGAAUCAGUGUGUUGUACAUCUUUUUAUAAGAGCUCUAAAGAAAAGCCUAGGCAGGUUCUAAUGGGAUACCAUGGCAGUUGUGACAUAGCAGUAAUCAGUAACUUGUCUCUCUGGGGAAAUCUUAAAUGGGAGGGGAGAGAAGGGGCAGAUCUCAAAUGCUGUGGGCAUCUGAAUGUAGGUUCUGUGUCUCCGCCCCCACCCAGCUGUUGCUUUUUUUAGCAGGGGCAGGGGGAGGCUCAUUCCAUAGCACAGAGGGGGAACGAGCCCUGUUGACAGAAUCCUUCUGGAGUUCGAGUGGGGAUUGAAAUCGUGACGAGCAGCUGUCCUCCCUCUGGAUCCCACUGACAGUGGGCUACUGCUGCUCAUGCUGUGUCCUUUUCUAUGUGAAUGUCUCCAGUAUUGGCCACCUGGUGCCUUUCUAUUUGGGCUGCCGUUCCUGGUUGACAGUAGGUCCCUGUGAGCUGCUGUACUCAGAUGUCAAAAUGUUAGUCAAAUCUUCCCAAAUCCUAUAAAUAGCUAUAAUGAAAAUUAAAUACAAAAAGUUUCAUGCUAAGCCAGUUCAAAGAUCCAUCUUCCUAGCAAGGAAAACAAAGUUCUGGUUUCUAGAGCCAAGAAGAGUCACUUCAAAAUAAUUUCUUUCUGGAUUAUCAGACUUUAACGUUUUGGUACCUGGGGCCAGCUGUCACAUGUGUUUGAACCAUCUUUCAGUCACCACUAAUAGACUGGAUACCUGCACCAUCCCUCUAUUUCUGUGGGCAUACAAAUAAGGAAAUGAAUAUCUGAUGAAACCAAGGUGCUUCUAGUCACACAGGACAAUCACUCUCCUGUUUUUGUGUAAUUUUGAAGAGGUGUUUCUUUCCCAGUGUGAGGUUACCUUGUGAACGUAGUCCCAAAGACUUCAUUGUGUAACCGUGACUGCUGGGGCUGCAGUUCAGGAGUCUGAGACAGCCAGUCUCCUUACAGAGCAGUGGUCCAGAUGGAGACAGUGCCCCAAGGGUUUGGAGAAUUAAAUUCAGAUACAGUGGAACCUCAGAGUUACAAACUGACUGGUCAAAUACACACUGCAUUUAGAACUGGAAGUAUGCAACCAGGCUGCAGCAGAGGCCUCCAAAAAGCAACGGGGGAUGGGGGGAAGGAAAGUGUAAAAAAAGAUUUGACAAACUGUUUCGGUGCUUGUUUCAUUUAAAUUAAGAUGGUUAAAAGAGGCAUUUUUCUUCUGCAUAAUAAAGUUUAAAAGCUGUAUUAAAUCAA